rnacentral:rRNA from 1 species
GUUAUCGUUUAUUUGAUAGUACCUUACUACUUGGAUAACCGUGGUAAUUCUAGAGCUAAUACAUGCUAAAAACCCCGACUUCGGAAGGGGUGUAUUUAUUAGAUAAAAAACCAAUGCCCUUCGGGGCUCCUUGGUGAUUCAUAAUAACUUAACGAAUCGCAUGGCCUUGUGCCGGCGAUGGUUCAUUCAAAUUUCUGCCCUAUCAACUUUCGAUGGUAUGGUCUUGGCUUACCAUGGUUUCAACGGGUAACGGGGAAUUAGGGUUCUAUUCCGGAGAGGGAGCCUGAGAAACGGCUACCACAUCCAAGGAAGGCAGCAGGCGCGCAAAUUACCCAAUCCCGACACGGGGAGGUAGUGACAAUAAAUACUGAUACAGGGCUCUUUUGGGUCUUGUAAUUGGAAUGAGUACAAUUUAAAUCCCUUAACGAGGAACAAUUGGAGGGCAAGUCUGGUGCCAGCAGCCGCGGUAAUUCCAGCUCCAAUAGCGUAUAUUAAAGUUGUUGCAGUUAAAAAGCUCGUAGUUGAACCUUGG